rnacentral:rRNA from 1 species
CAGCCGCCGCGGUAAUACAGAGGGUGCGAGCGUUAAUCGGAUUUACUGGGCGUAAAGCGUGCGUAGGCGGCUUUUUAAGUCGGAUGUGAAAUCCCUGAGCUUAACUUAGGAAUUGCAUUCGAUUCUGGGAAGCUAGAGUAUGGGAGAGGAUGGUAGAAUUCCAGGUGUAGCGGUGAAAUGCGUAGAGAUCUGGAGGAAUACCGAUGGCGAAGGCAGCCAUCUGGCCUAAUACUGACGCUGAGGUACGAAAGCAUGGGGAGCAAACAGGAUUAGAUACCCGUGUAGUCCCUGUCUCUUAUAC